rnacentral:rRNA from 1 species
GAUGAACGCUGGUGGCGUGCCUAAUACAUGCAAGUCGAGCGAACAGACGAGGAGCCUGCUCCUCUGACGUUAGCGGCGGACGGGUGAGUAACACGUGGAUAACCUACCUAUAAGACUGGGAUAACUUCGGGAAACCGGAGCUAAUACCGGAUAAUAUAUUGAACCGCAUGGUUCAAUAGUGAAAGACGGUUUUGCUGUCACUUAUAGAUGGAUCCGCGCCGCAUUAGCUAGUUGGUAAGGUAACGGCUUACCAAGGCAACGAUGCGUAGCCGACCUGAGAGGGUGAUCGGCCACACUGGAACUGAGACACGGUCCAGACUCCUACGGGAGGCAGCAGUAGGGAAUCUUCCGCAAUGGGCGAAAGCCUGACGGAGCAACGCCGCGUGAGUGAUGAAGGUCUUCGGAUCGUAAAACUCUGUUAUUAGGGAAGAACAAAUGUGUAAGUAACUAUGCACGUCUUGACGGUACCUAAUCAGAAAGCCACGGCUAACUACGUG